UACGUAGGUGGCAAGCGUUGUCCGGAUUUAUUGGGCGUAAAGCGCACGCAGGCGGUUGGGUAAGUCCGGUGUGAAAUCUCUCGGCUUAACUGGGAGGAGUCAUCGGAUACUGGCCGGCUUGAGGAAGGUAGAGGAGAGUAGAAUUCCCGGUGUAGUGGUGGAAUGCGUAGAUAUCGGGAGGAAUACCAGUGGCGAAGGCGGCUCUCUGGGCCUUUCCUGACGCUGAGGAGCGAAAGCGUGGGGAGCAAACAGG
rnacentral:rRNA from 1 species